rfam:Poecilia formosa, whole genome shotgun sequence.
GUUCCUGUAGUGUAGUGGUUAUCACGUUUGCUUCACACGCAAAAGGUCUCUGGUUCGAAACCAGACAAAAACA